AUGGCCAGAUUAACAAUGUGGAGAGGCAGCAGCUGCAUCCUUAGCCUGUUGGUCGUGAUGUGCGUUGGGGCCUCGGCAGCACGAUCGGCUCCGGAGGAAUCGCUGGCGGCGGCGAACGGCACGUGCCGGUCCAGGGUGGAGCCCUUCGGCUACGGAUGCGAGGAACACACGGUGACGACCCAAGACGGAUACAUCCUAAGCCUGCAGCGAAUCACGAGCGACCGCAGCGGCGAGUCGGCGACGGGCGGCGGUGGGAAAGUGCCGGUCCUGCUGCAGCACGGCCUCAUGAUGGACGGGAUGACAUGGCUGAUGAACUCGCCCAACGAGUCCCUGGGUUACAUCCUAGCGGACAACGGAUACGACGUCUGGAUCGCCAACACGCGCGGCACUGUCUACAGCCUCGGCCACACAUCGCUUUCUUCCAGUGAUCCGGCCUACUGGAACUGGUCAUGGGACGAGCUAGCCAGCAACGAUCUCUCGGCGAUGCUGCAGUACGCGUACGACCAUUCAAGCCAGCAGAAGGUGCAUUAUGUGGGCCACUCGCUGGGGACGUUGAUCGCGCUGGCUGCCCUGAGCGACCAGCAACAGCACGUGUCGAUGCUGCGCUCGGCUGGCCUGCUCAGCCCCAUCGCCUUCCUCAACAAGGUGUCGUCGCCCUUGGCGCUGGCGGCGGCCGACGUCUUCCUCGCCGAGGCUCUUUACUGGCUGGGAAUCGAUGAGUUCGAUCCAACAGGGACUGCUGUUCACGGUCUGCUCACUGACAUAUGCAAGCUACCAGGGGUGAACUGCUACGAUCUCAUGUCAUCGUUUACAGGCGAUAAUUGCUGCCUCGACAACUCCUCUGUCCAGACCUUCCUCGCUCAUGAGCCACAGGCUUCUUCAACCAAGAACAUGGUCCAUUUGGCUCAAAUGAUCAGAAGAGGUAUAAUCGCCAAGUACGACUAUGGCGACGCGAGCGACAACAUCAAGUACUACGGGCAGGCGACGCCGCCCGUGUACAACGUGUCGGCCAUCCCCGACGACUUCCCUCUCUUCCUCAGCAGCGGCGGCAAGGACAGCCUCUCGGACGUGCAGGACGUGCGCCGCCUCGAGCAGGCGCUCAAGUCGCACGACAGCGACACGCUCACUGUUCAGUACCUCGCGGACUACGCGCACGCCGACUUCGUCCUGGCUGGGAACGCCAAGGAAAGAGUCUACGGGCCUCUCAUGGCCUUCUUCAGGCUCCAGGACAAAUGA
rnacentral:rRNA from 1 species